GAUGAAGAACGUAGCGAAAUGCGAUACGUAAUGUGAAUUGCAGAAUUCCGUGAAUCAUCGAAUCUUUGAACGCACAUUGCGCCCGCCAGUAUUCUGGCGGGCAUGCCUGUCUGAGCGUCAUUUCAACCCUCAUGCCCCUAGGGCGUGGUGUUGGGGAUCGGCCAAAGCCCGCGAGGGACGGCCGGCCCCUAAAUCUAGUGGCGGACCCGUCGUGGCCUCCUCUGCGAAGUAGUGAUAUUCCGCAUCGGAGAGCGACGAGCCCCUGCCGUUAAACCCCCAACUUUCCAAGGUUGACCUCAGAUCAGGUAGGAAUACCCGCUGAACUUAAGCAUAUCAAUAAGCGGAGGA
rnacentral:misc_RNA from 1 species